rnacentral:rRNA from 1 species
UACGUGGGGACCGAGCGUUGUCCGGAGUUACUGGGCGUAAAGGGCGUGCAGGUGGCUCGGCAAGCGUGGCGUGAAAGCCCCCGGCCCAACCGGGGAGGGUCGUCGCGGACUGUCGGGCUUGAGGGGCGCAGGGGUCGGUGGAAUUCCGGGUGUAGUGGUGAAAUGCGUAGAGAUCCGGAGGAACACCAGUGGCGAAGGCGGCCGACUGGGCGCACCCUGACACUGAGACGCGAAGGCGUGGGGAGCGAACGGG